AGGGAUUCCAAGUAUUCUUCUGUUUGAUUUUUUUAAAAAAAGGAAAGAGAGAAGAAAAGAAAAGAAGAAAAAGCAUGGAUACGAAAAAGGAAGGGGAGUUUUCUGAAGCAGAGAAGCAGACCAGCAACAUCCUUGAUUCCUCUUUCUGAGUAUCCUCCGCACUAGGAAUCUUCGUGGAGCCGCUGGAUGUGG